CUAGCCUUGGUUUCUCAGCUGUAAAACUGGGCUAAUGAUCAUAAAUGAGGCAAUGCAUGUAAGGUGCUUAGUGGCGAAUAGAGGGGGAUUUCUGUGGUUUGGGUAUGAAUUUUGGCCCUGCCACUAACUUGCUAUGUGACCUAAGCUCAGGAAUACGAGAGGGCCUCCAAAGUGGACCAGUUUGUGACGCGCUUCCUGCUGCGGGAGACGGUGAGCCAGCUGCAAGCCCUGCAGAGCUCGCUGGAGGGGGCGUCAGAUACCCUGGAGGCCCAGGCCUGUGGCUGGCGGUCAGAUGCAGAGAGCGUGGAGGUGCAGAGCAGGCCCUGCGGCAGCCGGCGGGCAGGACGCCGGGCCCUGAGGAGUGUCAGCCGGUCAUCCACUUGGUCCCCCGGCUCUUCUGACACAGGGCGCAGCUCAGAGGCCGAGAUGCAGUGGCGGCUCCAGGUGAACCGCCUCCAGGAGCUCAUUGACCAGCUCGAGUGCAAGCACAUCCUCGUGGCCCAGAGGCAGGUCCAGGUGGCAGAGGAAGGCCUGCAGGACUUCCACCGAGCCCUGCGCUGCUACGUGGACUUCACAGGGGCCCAGAGCCAUUGUCUGCAUGUGUCCGCCCAGAAGAUGCCAGACGGUGCCUCCUUCGCCCUGUAUGAGUUCUGGCAGGAUGAGGCCUCCUGGAGAAGGCACCAGCAGUCGCCCGGCAGCAAGGCCUUCCAGCGCGUCCUCAUCGACCACCUGCGGGCCCCGGACACCCUCACCACUGUGUUCUUCC
rnacentral:sRNA from 1 species